ensembl:lncRNA
UUUUUUUUUUUUUUUUUUGAGAUGGAGUCUCACUCUGUGGCUUAGUAUGGAGUGCAGUGACUCAGUCAUGGCUCACUGCAGCCUCAACUUCCUGGGCUCAGGUGAUCCUCCUGCCUCAGCCUCCUGAGCAUCUGGGACCACGGGUGUGCACCACCAUACCUGGCUAAGUUUUUAAUAGAAAUGGGGUCUUGCUAUGUUGCCCAGGCUAGGGAACCAAUUUUUAAGUUUUUGAAAUAUGCUUGGAAAUAUAAAUAUUAGUGAGCAGAGCAGACCAGGAGAUCAAUAAUUUUUGUUCUCUGCUUCUUAGUUGUGCAUAUAGUAUGUUCUUUUGUCUCUCUUAAUGAUGUUUGGGGUGAGGGUGUGGGAGAGGAAGGUAGGGAGGCUUCCAACAAGAAGCUAGUGCUCCUCCAGCCUAGAGAAACUAAAACAUACAAAAGCCAGACUCCAUCCCUGGAAAUUCUGAUUUAAUUGGUAGAGGAAGGCAUCUGAAUUCUCAUAGAGGGUCUGGUUUGCAGCAGAACUGGUGAUUUCUUUCCAGGUGCCUUGUUUUGUUAGACCACUUAAUAAUUUUUUUGGGGCCAGGCACAGUGGCUCACACCUGUAAUCCCAGUGCUUUAGGAGGCAAGGCAGGAAGAUCGCUUUAGGCCAGGAGUUCAAGACCAACCUGGGCAACAUAAUGAGACCUUGUCUCUUAAAAAAAAUUUUUUUUUUUUAAUUAAACAGAGGUGGUGUGUGCCUGUAGUUCUGGCUACUUGGGAAGCUGAGGCAGGAGGAUCAUUUGAGCCUAGUUCGAGGCUGCAGUGAGCUAUGAUCAUGCCACUGUACUCCAUCCAGCCUGGGCAACAGAGCAAGUUCCCAUUUCUAAAAGAAAACAAAAAAUGUAACUUGAUACCUGUGACUUUCUGAAACUAAGAGCUGCUUGAAGAAAUAUAUUUCUAUUCCUGUUCUUGUGUUUGAUGGAAAGUGUUUAUUAAUAACUUUGGUUUCAAACCUUCCAAUUAUAUUCUAGAAAAUACCUGUGUCUUAAAGAAAGAGAUAGUAUCUAGGGAGAACUGAAUCACUGCAGAGUUCUUCAUCUGUCCGUAUGGGUAUGUCUAGUCUUUUUGAAUGUAAUGAAUUUCAUUAGAAGGAUAUUAAGUGCUUGUCAUGAGUAAGCCCCUGCGCCAGAAGCUCAAUCUAAAUCAUUUCAUUUUCUCACCCAUAUGGUGAAGUAGCUGAUCAGGACACUGAAGCUCAGCCAUUUGCUCAAAGUCAUGGCUAAUGGAGGGAGGAUUCCAACCCACAUCAGCUUGAUUUCAAAGCCUAAUAGUCCUGCCACUGUCAACAUCCUGCCUAGAUCAUGAUGAUUUGGAAUCAUUGGGAAAGAUUUUUUUUUUUCAUGUCAUGAAGUUUGAAGCCUAAGAAUUUUUUUCAAUGGAAUUUUAUAAAAAUGUCCUUGAAUCACAGAUGGCUGUCCCUGGAAACAUAGGUUUGUUUGAGAGUCACCUCUUUUGUUGUCUUAAUAAAUAGUCUAAGAGCCAUCACAAGGGCUACUGUGGCUAGAGAACAUAUGACACGGGCCGCGCACUGUGCAGGCAUUUGACCCGCAUUCCUUCACCCCCGGUUCCUGUAACGUGUACCUGGUGCUGUGAGGUUACAGCUGAUAACGCUGGGGUUUCCAGAGCACGUGCUUCCAAGUCCAGUGGAGAAAAUCCCAAGAAGUCCGAUAUUCAAUGGCCGUUCCUUACUGGAAAGUAAGCCCAGAAACGAAGUAGCUGUGAACAGGCU